rnacentral:rRNA from 1 species
AUUGAACGCUGGCGGAAUGCUUUACACAUGCAAGUCGAACGGCAGCACGGACUUCGGUCUGGUGGCGAGUGGCGAACGGGUGAGUAAUGUAUCGGAACGUGCCCAGUCGUGGGGGAUAACGUAGUGAAAAUUACGCUAAUACCGCAUACGAUCUAUGAAUGAAAGCGGGGGAUCGCAAGACCUCGCGCGAUUGGAGCGGCUGAUAUCAGAUUAGGUAGUUGGUGGGGUAAAGGCCCACCAAGCCAACGAUCUGUAGCUGGUCUGAGAGGACGACCAGCCACACUGGAACUGAGACACGGUCCAGACUCCUACGGGAGGCAGCAGUGGGGAAUUUUGGACAAUGGGCGAAAGCCUGAUCCAGCCAUUCCGCGUGCAGGAUGAAGGCCCUCGGGUUGUAAACUGCUUUUGUACAGAACGAGAAGGUUUCUACUAAUACUAGGAGCUCAUGACGGUACUGUAAGAAUAAGCACCGGCUAACUACGUGCCAGCAGCCGCCGUAA